UGGGGAAUAUUGGACAAUGGGCGCAAGCCUGAUCCAGCAAUGCCGCGUGUGUGAAGAAGGCCUUCGGGUUGUAAAGCACUUUUAUCAGGAGCGAAACGCUGUCGGCUAAUACCCGGCGGAACUGACGGUACCUGAGGAAUAAGCACCGGCUAACUUCGUGCCAGCAGCCGCGGUAAUACGAAGGGUGCAAGCGUUAAUCGGAAUUACUGGGCGUAAAGCGUGCGUAGGCGGUUUCUUAAGUCUGCUGUGAAAUCCCCGGGCUCAACCUGGGAAUGGCAGUGGAUACUGGGAGGCUAGAGUGUGUCAGAGGGUGGUGGAAUUCCCGGUGUAGCGGUGAAAUGCGUAGAGAUCGGGAGGAACAUCAGUGGCGAAGGCGGCCACCUGGGACAACACUGACGCUGAGGCACGAAAGCGUGGGGAGCAAACAGGAUUAGAUACCCUGGUAGUCCACGCCCUAAACGAUGCGAACUGGAUGUUGGUCUCAACUCGGAGAUCAGUGUCGAAGCUAACGCGUUAAGUUCGCCGCCUGGGGAGUACGGUCGCAAGACUGAAACUUAAAUG
rnacentral:rRNA from 1 species